ensembl:lncRNA
ACCAUAUGAAACUAUCUUCCUAAAAUAAUGUCCGCAGGUCUAUAUGUGAGGAGAACUGAGAUGAUUUUGUUCAAAAUCAAUGAGUCAGCCAUCACAGAGUCAGCACUUUACUGCUCUUCCUGUGUUUCAACCACCAUCGGCCAGCAGGGGGCAGUGCUGUGGGGAUACAGUUCAUUGGGUGAAUGCUAAAGCAGGAUUUCAGGCUGAUUUAUUGCUAAUUCAAGGGUUUUCACUGCAUAAAAGUUCCUAUCUGGUAUUAAUUUGAUGCAAAUGCAGAAUAAAAUGGUGGUUAGAGAUUAGAUAAAUGAAAGUUGCCACAUAAAUAAUUGCAAAUUCAAGAGCCUUUGAUAAGGCCACAAACAAAGAAUCACAAACAAAAUAGCAUUGCAACAAACACUACCACAUAUGACCAGAAAUAUCUCAGGCCUUCGCAGAAGUUGGGGGUGUUAGGUGUGUCUGAGAGUGAUAGUGAGACAAACUUCCUCCUCAUACGUACAUUGGCCAACCUUCGCUUUAGAGGAAGAGAAGUGGCGCUGCGAGAGAAGAGAAAGCAGAGUUAUCAAAACCCACACAGUCUUCAUGUCCUGUGUCAGUGUUCGGUGAAAGGUGAUGGUUCUGACCGAAUCAUCUUCAGCUGGGGUGGAUGGAUUAACUGCUGGAUGACAACACGAACACGGUCUGUUGUGAGCUGCUGGUUCAUCAGUAGAGGACUAGAUGGAGGAGGCAGCAGAGACUGCACAGCUGAGGCAACCAAAGGUUCAGGAUGGUAGUACCCCAGUCCGGCACUCAGAAACCAAGCGUUACAGUGAGAUAUUACGCGAUUUUGACGCUAACUUGGAUCUUUCAUUAACAUGCUCGACUGUGGAUGAGCUACUACUAGAAGCAGACUCACUGUCUUUAACAGACACUUCAGCAGACACCACACUGAACGCUGAUCUGGAUGAUAUUACAGGUGAAGAUGUGGAGUCGUUGAAGAGCUGCCGUGAGGAGGAGGAAAAAGACGGAGCUGUAACCGGUAAUUCUUUUUAAGAUCAUUGUGUUUGCUUGCUGGACAUUUGGAGGAAGACUAACAGGGUGAAAAGAUUAAUGAGAUUUGCAAUGAACAAGUUUGUUUGUACUCUCAAAAAUAUUAGAAUGAAUAUCAUGCAUCCAGCUCGGUUUAUUGAGGUUGAUUGAUUCGAUAUGGUCUUCUGUCCAUCAUUUGGACAUAGACAGAGAUGACUGAUAUAUGAGAGAAGCAAAGCAAAGACAGUGACUGAUCAGGCCCGGAGGCAACAUGUCACUCCACCAAAUCUCUCUUCUUCAACCUGCACUGUUUACGUGUAAUUAGCCACAUGGACUAAUUGCCCCUCGCUAACAAGAUUAGCACCGGACGGGGGUUAGAGAGCAGAUUAAAGUAGCAGACAGCUGCUCUCUGUUUUUCCCGCUGAUCCAUCUCUCCGAAAACUGUUGAAAGAUAAGAUAGCAUGUUCGCUUUAGAACUGUAAUCUUUAUAUAAAAUUAGAGUAGUACAUAUGAACCAUAAAUUAUGAAGAAAAGAGUUGUAACCAAAGAUAAAAUGAGAUUAUUUUGAUUAGGUGAUAGCUGUGUUGUAUUGAAUAGCUAUAUAUUGACGUCAUCUUCCUUGGCUGCUACCUUGGCUAGACCUGCUUGUCCUGUGAGCAUAUAGCUGUUUGCUAGCUGAGAUUAGGGAUUACGUUAACACUCAAAGUUUAAAUAAAGCAUCCGCACAGUGACCUUCGAGAUGAUGA